UACGUAGGGGGCAAGCGUUGUCCGGAUUUACUGGGCGUAAAGAGCGUGUAGGCGGCCACGCAGGUCCGUUGUGAAAACUGGAGGCUCAACCUCCAGCUGUCGACGGAAACCGUAUGGCUAGAGUCCGGAAGAGGAGAGUGGAAUUCCUGGUGUAGCGGUGAAAUGCGCAGAUAUCAGGAGGAACACCUAUUGCGAAGGCAGCUCGCUGGGACGUAACUGACGCUGAGACGCGAAAGCGUGGGGAGCAAACAGG
rnacentral:rRNA from 1 species